UACGGAGGGUGCGAGCGUUGUCCGGAAUCAUUGGGCGUAAAGGGCGCGUAGGUGGCCCGGUCAGUCCGUGGUGAAAGCGCGGGGCUCAACCCCGCGUCGGCCAUGGAUACUGCUGGGCUGGAGCACUGUAGAGGCAGGCGGAAUUCCGGGUGUAGCGGUGGAAUGCGUAGAGAUCCGGAAGAACACCGGUGGCGAAGGCGGCCUGCUGGGCAGUUUAGCUGACACUGAGGCGCGACAGCGUGGGGAGCAAACAGG
rnacentral:rRNA from 1 species